rnacentral:rRNA from 1 species
GACGAACCGUGCGAACGUUAUUCGGAAUCACUGGGCUUAAAGGGCGCGCAGGCGGCUUAUUUUGUCAGGCGUGAAAGCCCCGGGCUUAACCUGGGAACUGCGUUUGAUACGGAUGGGCUAGAGUUCGGGAGAGGAGAGUGGAAUUCCCAGUGUAGAGGUGAAAUUCGUAGAUAUUGGGAAGAACACCGGUGGCGAAGGCGGCUCUCUGGACCGAGACUGACGCUGAGGCGCGAAAGCGUGGGGAGCAAACAGG